CUAAAGACUGCCUUUCGCCCUCAGGGCUCAGUAGCAGCCCCGCCUUGUUCUCUGAGGGGGACUACUUUGGGGGCAAAAUCGGAAAGUCCUUAGCUCUCGUCUUCUUCUUCGUUUGUGGUCCGAGUUCAGAGAAGGGAGGAGGAGGGGUCAAGUGCCCUUCUGACCCUGGUCCCCCGGCGCUGCCCUGGCCAGGCAGUCUGGGGCUUGCAGGCGAGGUGGAAGAAUGGUCCCUGGCUGCGCAAGGGCGUGCCAACUGCCCUUUGAAACCAUGGGCGCAGUCCAGCCUAGGCUGCUUUGGCCCUUCAGGCUGCAGAAGACCGCAGGACGGCUCGUGAGAGGGACAGCUCUGCUGUGGGGCAGCCUGCUCCAGCUGGGCAUGGAACACCAGGGCUCACAGAAGCGGCUGCUUGGUGGUGCCGCCGAGGUCCAGAUGUGCCAAGCCAUACUGCCUUCCCACGCCAACCACCUCGGUGAGCUGAGCGCCGGCCAGCUGCUCAAAUGGAUUGACACCACCGCCUGCCUAGCAGCUGAAAAACAUGCUGGUGUCUCCUGUGUAACAGCAUCAGUGGAUGACAUACAGUUUGAAGAGACAGCCAGGGUAGGCCAGAUCAUCAAUAUCAAAGCGAAAGUCAUCAGAGCAUUCAAAACCAGCAUGGAGAUCAGCAUUAAAGUCAUAGUACAAGAUACCUUCACCAGGACUCAGAAGCUUGUGAGUGUGGCAUUCUCUACGUUUGUAACCAAACCAGUUGGAGGAGAAAAGGUUCAGUUAAAGCCAGUCACCCUUCUGACAGAACAAGAUCAAGUCGAACAUGAUAUGGCUUCAGAGAGAAGGAAAGUCAGACUCCAACACGAGGACACCUUCCAGAGCCUGAUGAGGGAGAGCAGCAAGUUUGCUGAUGCCAUCUGUGACCAAGAAGACAGUACAGUUUCAACUGGUGAUACCUGGGUACAGAGCAUCGAACUUGUCCUUCCACCCCAUGCAAACCAUCAUGGAAAUACAUUCGGGGGCCAGAUUAUGGCUUGGAUGGAGACAGUGGCUAACAUUUCAGCAAGCCGCCUUUGUUGCUCCCAUCCCAUUCUGAAGUCCGUGGAUAUGUUUAAGUUUCGGGGACCAUCUACUGUUGGUGAUCGGCUUGUCUUCAACGCCAUUGUGAACAAUACUUUUCAGGAAUGGGUUGAAGUGGGGGUCCGUGUUGAGGCGUACAACUGUGAGGAAUGGUCCAAAGGCCAAGGCCGCCAUAUCAACAGUGCUUUUCUCAUUUAUUAUGCUGUUGAUGACAAUGAAGAACGUAUCGUGUUCCCCAGAGUCAAGCCCAUUUCAAAGGAUGAUGUGAGAAGGUACCGUGGGGCUAUUGCACGUAAGAGGAUACGACUUGGCAGGAAAUAUGUUGUUUCUCAUAAAGAAGACAUUCCACUUCAUGUUCACUGGGAUGAAAACAACCAGGUAUACUUGAGUCACAGCAAUGUGGAUGCUCUCAAAGCCCUGGCAGCCAAAAGUGGUUGGGAAGUCACCAGUGCUGGGGGAAAGGUCAAAAUGCAUACCUUGGAGGAGCGGGAUGUUUUGUCAGUCUGGGUAGAAAAGCAAGUAGAGAGAUCAGCUAACUUAGCUUUUGACCUGCUGUCUGACUUCACAAAGAGACCUCAGUGGGACCCCCAUUUCUUGACUUGUGAGGUCAUAGAUUGGGUGAGCGACAAUGACACAAUAUAUUAUAUAACCUGUCCAAAAGUGAGUAACAGUAAACCUAUAGAUUUGGUUGUCCUUGUAUCACGAAGAAAACCUGCCAAAGACAGGUGAGUAUAUGAAAUUACUAGAUUAUAAACUCUAUGGGAGCAGGAAAUACGUGUAUUUCAUCUUGGUCUGUCUCAGCACCUAGGACAGCGACUUACACAGAGGAGACACUGAAUGUGUUUGAGAUGAAUUAAUUUCAGAUCAGAGUUUAGAAGCUGUUGAAGUACUUGUAGGGUAACUUUAACACAUAAAGUACUUGUAUUUUAACCCUUCAAGGAUCUGUGAUUUCUGCAGUGUGAAGAUUCCCUCAACCAAUGCAAGGUAUAAUCCCUCUAUGCCUUAGUAAACAAUCUUAAGAAAUUGUUUUGGCUAAAAUGUGAAUCCAACCUAGUGAUGAAUGACUACUCUGAACAGAGGGAAGCUGGUCCCCUGAUGACACAAAUAAAAGCUGUCUCCAACUCUGUACCUAAAGCCAUUGCAGCCUUGGUAAAUGGACCAGAAUUUGUAUUCUCUAGCCACUGUAUUUGGAAACUCGGGGUUACCUCCAAGCCAUGAUGAAAUAUCAGAAUACGAUUUUAUUGAGUUCAAGGAGGAACCUAUAUAGCCAACUUCUCUCUUAAUUAAAGGCCUCCUAAAAGUUGCUCCAAGUUCCAGUCAGGAUUUGAGUCAGUAUCUAUACAAACCAUAGCACAUAAGUCCCUCAUUGAACCCUCUGUUAUCAUACCAAUGAGAGGAUGCAGUAGUUCAAAGAGAGGGGAAAAAACCCCAUUAAACAGCACAGAAAAAUUAGUUAAAAACUAGCAUUUAUUCGGCACUUACCAUGUGCCAGACAGAACAAAAAUGGAGAUCCAAGCACAAGCAAAAGGAAAAACAGUCCAUUUCCUCAAGGAGUUUAUAUUUUUUUAGCCCUUACCUUCUGUAUUAGUAUCAGCUCAAAUCAGAGGAGGGUAAGGGCUAAGCAAUUGUGGUUAAGUACCUUGCCCAAACUCACAUAGCUAGGAAAUGUCUGAAGUCAAAUUUGAACCUCUCAUUUCUAGGUCUGCCUCUCACUCUACUGUACCACCUAGCUGCCUUAGGAGCUUUUAUUCUAAUGAGAAAAGGCAACUUCAAAGGGAGCCGAAAAGCAGGUUAAAGGGAGGAACACACAAGAGGUUAUGGUGGCAAAGUUUAGAAAUUCAGAGGCAGAGCCAGGAGAGAAAUAAAAGUUAGCUGGCCUGGGCCCUUUCUCAAAAUGAAGGUCCCGGAAAGAACUCAUCAAACACAAAGAACUAUCUGAGGUACUCAGCACUUCCAAGAGCAGCCAGAGCCAGGUUAAAGUAAUUGGGAAAUAUUUAACAAAAUGAAUAAAAAUGCCAAAAACAUAGUGUUACACUUCAAAACUGUCACUAUAUGGCAGAGAUCCUUGUGUAUGGAUUAGUGACCUUCUCCCUUUCCAUUUGAGUUUGACACCACUGUUCCUGGGUGAGAAGGCUGCUGGGGAAGAUGGAUAUUCCAGGGUAAGGAGGAUGCAGGGACUUAAGGAAGCUUCAGGAGGAGACUACAGCUGAGUAACACUUAUGUAGUAGCAGUCAAGUCCGUCACCCUGGCCUCGAUCCCACCUUCUCCUCAGUACAACAGAAGUGAGAUCACAUGCGCGGGAUUCCUGAUACGGGCUGUUGACAGCAACUCCUGCACGGU